UACGGAGGGUGCAAGCGUUGUUCGGAAUCACUGGGCGUAAAGCGAACGCAGGCGGAUUUUUAAGUAGGAAGUGAAAGGUUGGAGCUCAACUCCAACACUGCUCCCUAUACUGGGAAUCUUGAGUAGCGGAGAGGAUGAGGGAACGACACGUGUAGCGGUGAGAUGCGUUGAUAUGUGUCGGAACACCCAUGGCGAAAGCACUCAUCUGGACGCACACUGACGCUCAUGUUCGAAAGCCAAGGUAGCAAACAGG
rnacentral:rRNA from 1 species